ensembl:rRNA 5S_rRNA 5S ribosomal RNA
GUCUACGGCCAUACCACCCUGAACACGGCCAAUCUCGUCUAAUCUUGGAAGCUAAGCAGGGUCGGGCCUGGUUAGUACUUGGAUGGGAGAGCCUGUGAGGGAAAAACUUCUUGAGGAGGCCAGUUCUACCUUUGAUU